GACGAACGCUGGCGGCGUGCCUAAUACAUGCAAGUUGAGCGCUGAAGGUUGGUACUUGUACCAACUGGAUGAGCAGCGAACGGGUGAGUAACGCGUGGGGAAUCUGCCUUUGAGCGGGGGACAACAUUUGGAAACGAAUGCUAAUACCGCAUAAAAACUUUAAACACAAGUUUUAAGUUUGAAAGAUGCAAUUGCAUCACUCAAAGAUGAUCCCGCGUUGUAUUAGCUAGUUGGUGAGGUAAAGGCUCACCAAGGCGAGGAUACAUAGCCGACCUGAGAGGGUGGUCGGCCACAUUGGGAGGGAGACACGGCCCAAAGGCCUACAGGAGGCAGCAGUAGGGAAUCUUCAGCAAGGGACGAAAGUCUGAGCGAGCAACGCCGCGUGAGUGAAGAAGGUUGUCGGGUCGGAAAACUCUGUUGGUAGGGAAGAACGUUGGUGAGCGUGGAAAGCUCAUCAAGUGACGGUAACUACCCAGAAAGGGACGGCUAACUACGUG
rnacentral:rRNA from 1 species